rnacentral:rRNA from 1 species
GACGAACGCUGGCGGCGUGCUUAACACAUGCAAGUCGAGCGAGGCCCCUCCUUCGGGAGGGUGUCCUAGCGGCGAACGGGUGAGUAACACGUGGGCAACCUGCCCUCAGCUCUGGGAUAACUCCGGGAAACCGGGGCUAAUACCGGAUACGACCUCCACGGGCAUCUGCGGAGGUGGAAAGUUUUUCGGCUGAGGAUGGGCCCGCGGCCUAUCAGCUAGUUGGUGGGGUAGUGGCCCACCAAGGCGACGACGGGUAGCCGGCCUGAGAGGGCGACCGGCCACACUGGGACUGAGACACGGCCCAGACUCCUACGGGAGGCAGCAGUGGGGAAUAUUGCGCAAUGGGCGAAAGCCUGACGCAGCGACGCCGCGUGAGGGACGAAGGCCUUCGGGUUGUAAACCUCUUUCAGCAGGGACGAAGCGAAAGUGACGUUACCUGCAGAAGAAGCACCGGCCAACUACGUG